UACGUAGGGUGCGAGCGUUAAUCGGAAUUACUGGGCGUAAAGCGUGCGCAGGCGGCUAUUUAAGCUUGCUGUGAAAGCCCCGGGCUUAACCUGGGAACUGCAGUGAGGACUGGAUGGCUAGAGUGUGGCAGAGGGGGGUGGAAUUCCACGUGUAGCAGUGAAAUGCGUAGAGAUGUGGAGGAACACCGAUGGCGAAGGCAGCCCCCUGGGCUAACACUGACGCUCAGGCACGAAAGCGUGGGGAGCAAACAGG
rnacentral:rRNA from 1 species